CAGGACGAACGCUGGCGGCGUGCCUAACACAUGCAAGUCGAACGGAGAUAAGCGCUGAUUUGAAGGUAGCUUGCUACUGAAUUUUCUGCUUAUCUUAGUGGCGGACGGGCGAGUAACGCGUGAGUAACCUGCCUUUCAGAGGGGGGACAACAGUUGGAAACGACUGCUAAUACCGCAUAACGUCAUUUGGGGGCAUCCCCGAGUGACCAAAGAUUUUAUCGCUGAAAGAUGGACUCGCGUCCGAUUAGCUAGAUGGUGGGGUAACGGCCUACCAUGGCGACGAUCGGUAGCCGAACUGAGAGGUUGAUCGGCCGCAUUGGGACUGAGACACGGCCCAGACUCCCUACGGGAGGCAGCAGUGGGGGAUAUUGCACAAUGGAGGAAACUCUGAUGCAGCAACGCCGCGUGAGGGAAGACGGUUUUCGGAUUGUAAACCUCUGUCUUCGGUGACGAAUAAUGACGGUAGCCGAGGAGGAAGCCACGGCUAACUACGUG
rnacentral:rRNA from 1 species